rnacentral:tRNA from 1 species
GGUUAAAUUAUAGGUGAAAACCCUGUAUACCUC